GGGAAGGAUAUUGAGAAUAAUUGAGGAUUUGAAGGGAGGAAAAGAGGGGUAUCUCUGAGACUACGACGACACGGAUCGUGCAUGGGCGGAACAUUGUCUACGCGAAGAGAUUCUUCUGAGGGAGCUAUGUGAGGAAGGUUCUGUUAACUCAGCGAAUACUGAGAAAUUUCAAUUGUAAAGUGAAAUAGUAAUUAUUGUUGAAUAAUUGGUGGAUGUUAUUUGAAGUUUCCAGUGAGAUUGCUUCUUCAUCUUCCAAGUGUUCGCUCUUAAAACCGAGGAAGAACGAACGGAGGAACUUAACGGAGCACGAAUACUCCCAUGUUCAGCCGGUUGCCGGUCUUAAAGGGAGUUUCCUUGGCUCCAGCCGAG